rnacentral:misc_RNA from 1 species
UAAUCAAACUAAUAUUUAAUUUUAUGUUUUGAUUUGGGUUUUGCUUCAGAUUCUUUGUUCAUUUUUUUUUAAUCUGGGAAUUGUUCUAAAUUUUGAUUGUUUAUGGGUUAUUUUAUCAGAAAAUUCCUUUCUGAUCCUCUUACUAAUUUGUGCAUAUUGCUAUACUUUAAGGAUUUAAUUGUAAAUUACCAUAUUGAAAUUCUAAAAAUAACUGAUCUGGUGUUGAUGUGGUGACAAAAUCAGAGAUAAUGCCAAAGAAUAAGGG